rnacentral:rRNA from 1 species
GAUGAACGCUGGCGGCGUGCCUAAUACAUGCAAGUCGAGCGCACGUACUAGAAGCUUGCUUCUCUGCUGUUAGCGGCGGACGGUUGAGUAACACGUGGAUAACCUACCUUUAAGACUGGGAUAACUUCGGGAAACCGUAGCUAAUACCUGAUAAUAUUUUGAACCUCAUGGUUCAACAGUGAAAGACGGUCUUGCUGUCACUUAUAGAUGUAUCCGCGCUGCAUUAGCUAGUUGGUAAGGUAACGGCUUACCAAGGCAACGAUGCAUAGCCGACCUGAGAGGGUGAUCGGCCACACGGGAACUGAGACACGGUCAAGACUCCUACGGGAGGCAGCAGUAGGGAAUCUUCCGCAAUGGGCGAAAGCCUGACGGAGCAACGCCGCGUGAGUGAUGAAGGUCUUCGGAUCGUAAAACUCUGUUAUUAGGGAAGAACAUAUGUGUAAGUAACUGUGCACAUCUUGACGGUACCUAAUCAGAAAGCCACGGCUAACUACGUG